AUUGAACGCUGGCGGCAUGCUUUACACAUGCAAGUCGGACGGCAGCACAGAGGCGCUUGCUUCUUGGGUGGCGAGUGGCGAACGGGUGAGUAACGCAUCGGAACGUACCGAGUAAUGGGGGAUAACUGUCCGAAAGGACAGCUAAUACCGCAUACGCCCUGAGGGGGAAAGCGGGGGAUCUUAGGACCUCGCGUUAUUCGAGCGGCCGAUGUCUGAUUAGCUGGUUGGCGGGGUAAAGGCCCACCAAGGCGACGAUCAGUAGCGGGUCUGAGAGGAUGAUCCGCCACACUGGGACUGAGACACGGCCCAGACUCCUACGGGAGGCAGCAGUGGGGAAUUUUGGACAAUGGGCGCAAGCCUGAUCCAGCCAUGCCGCGUGUCUGAAGAAGGCCUUCGGGGUGUAAAGGACUUUUGUCAGGGAAGAAGGGGGCAUGUUAAUACCGUGCUCUGAUGACGGUACCUGAAGAAUAAGCACCGGCUAACUACGU
rnacentral:rRNA from 1 species